GUGGGAGAAAAUGCAAACAUUUAAAGAAAAGAGAACCCAAGAAAGAAGCAGCCUGGGAAUGGGAUUUUCCAGAUAUUUUUUGAAAUUUCAGAUUUUUACCAAAGCCGUGGAAGUAAAAAACAUUUUCCUUCCUCCUUCCAUCUCUUAUUCUGUAUCCUGUUUGUUUUCACAGGUCAAGAGGUCUAUGACCAGAAGGAAGGAACCAGCCCUUUCUUAAGAGGAUGUCAUCUGAGUCUCCUAACAGAAAUCUCUGCAUACAGCACUUUAGAAAGCCUGGUCAGUCCUAGCUAAAUGCUCAACCUAAACUUGGUUACGUGAGUCACCACUUUGCAAAUGUUAUACCUCGGGUUUGAUGGGAAAUAACAGCAGUGAUACUAAUAUAUAACAGAGCAAGGAACCUGCAAGGAACAAAAAAGAGGAGAAAAAUGAAGAGUGAAAAUAAAGAGCCAGUUUCUGCUCUAAGAUAUCUAGGUGUGUUGAUGGCCUAAAAAUGGGUAAAAAGCAUGUCUGGCAGUGAUUUCUGGGGGUGGCUUGCUCUCUGCUAGCUGUGAGGGGGUGAGACUGUAAAGCACAGGGGCUUUAGCUAGAAAGACUCUCAUGUUUGUAUUUGAGUGUUCCAUCUGUGUGGGAAGAUGAAGGCAUCCUCAGUGCACUCCCAUUUCUGAGGGUGCACUGGGAAGGCCUGCUUUGUACGUAGUGCUUUUUCUGAUAACAAUAAAAGAGCAAGGCUGCAGGAAUGAAUUUGUUCCCUCUUCUGAGAUAGGACUCAGGGCACCCUUUUUAUUGAAUGUUUGUAUGGGCACUAUUAGUGAGAGCCUUGCUGCUUUGAGGGUAGAGGAUGACCUGCAUCAGCUGGAGAGUAGGUGAGGUGUAUCCUGGCGAGUAGGAAGCAGAUCUAGUGGGGCAGGUACAGGUGUAACAACAUGAAAGGGUGCCUAAUGCAGCUGGACUUCAGAGUGGGAUGAGAAUGUGAUUAAUCCUGUCCUCCUUGUCACAUCCCGCAGGCUCUGACAGUUGGCUCCUGGCAGAACGAGUAGUUUCUGCUUCCUGUGACUUUAAAUGGGUUCACCACUUAUUAAAAAUAUUUGGUUUUCCACUUACUGACUUAUUUUCUGAUCCUCAGGAGCCUACAUAGAAUGGGUGAAUUGAUUUGAGUGAUACGGACAAGUGUUUAGAUGAGUGAAUAAAAGAGAUAUAAAGUAUGUAUGCCUCACUGCCAGUUGUUGUGUUACACCAUGCUGGUGAGAAAUGGGGCAACAAGAAAGAUAUCAGAAGUGAGACAGGAGACUUGGACUUCCACAGAUUAAUUAAUCAAAUGCACUCAACCACAAGAAUUGAGAGAGGGAUGCUCCAUGCCUUGUACACAAUGACAUAGGUCAGUAUUGGUGAUAAAACAAUACAAAUACAGCUCUGAUCUGCAAGGAUCAAUGACGAGAUUUCUGUUACUCUAGCAGUUCCCAGCUAAAGCUGUUCCUAAAGCUUUGCAAAGAAUUCAGAUAAAUCCUUGUCAAAUUUAAGAACUGUUUUUACCUGAUAGAUUCACCAUGUUUCAGUGUUGUGUAGGAUCUUAUGUGCUCAGGAGUUAAAAAUGAAAAUUUAAAGGGGAUGUGUGUGCCUUUUGGGAUGUGGUCUUUCUGUUCUCUGAGUUCCCAGCCGGUGUCUGGAGGCCAGCUUACCUGUCUGUCUUCAACCUCGCCGUGGUGUUGAGUUUUGCAAACUAUAUUGGCGCCUGCAGAUUCAGUGCCUACCACAAGAGGUCAGCACUGGAUAAGUUUGCGCUCCGGUGAAUGGUCGGAAAAAAAUGUCGGGUAUCGAGAACGUGCAGUUCCCACCUCUUUCACCAUAAAACUGAGGAAUCAGCUGUAGGAUUAUCUACUCUAAUGAUACAAGGCGGACAGCUUUGGGGACCUGCCUGGCGGGAGUGGGGCUAUGAAGACAGCCGACUCCUCCAACAGAAGCUACAAGGAGUGCCGCUCACUCCAGCGGUGCCUGGUACCCGCGGGAUUAAACGCAUGUUCCAGAAGGGACCGUUUGGACGAGCCUGACCGAUAAACUGUUAGAAACACAGUUCAUUCAUUGACCAGACUGGGCUGAUGCAUAUUACAGCAACAACCCAAAAUUUCAAUGGUACACUAAAACCAAAGUCCGAUCCUUCAUCUCUUACACACCCAGCCCUGAAGUCGUCAAUGCUUAGGAUGAAGGAUAGAGUGUUUUGAGCGCUGAUGUAUCAUCUGGUGCAGCAGGUCUCAGCCGUGAGACCACAGCUCCUAAGGAGCCGUCCAUGCCCCCUACGUGGUGCACAGCACGGUGGAGAAGUAAUGCACAGGUACCAUGGUGCUCACCAACGUCAAGCAUGUAGCUUGCACGUUGGCAGCGCGCUUGCCACGCUCCAGGGACUCGUGUUAGUCCCUGAAAGGACACAACAGCUUUACAGUGUGCAGAAAUACCCAGAUCCAGC